rnacentral:lncRNA from 1 species
AAUGUAAACACAAGAUGUCUUUAGCCCUCUAAGCUGGUUCAUACAGAAAUGUAGAGAUCCAGGCUCAGAACACACAGCUUAAUUAGCAAAUACAUAUGCAGGACAACUAGAGAAGACGUUUUACAGAGGAUGGAUUUUUAGAAACAUCCCAUCAGUGACAUCACAUCAUAUAUUCACAACGUGAAAUCUAGAAAAUAAUAUUACGUACCCAAAAUCCGCAAUAUGGAAACAGAACCUGUGUAAUUGUUGAUAGAUGAUGUACUCGUAACAUUUUUACAAGACAAACUACAACAUUUAA